CAUCUUUUUUUCAGGGUUUUACUCUACUGCGAUUCUGUGACCACAGAAGACCUCAGCUCUUCCUCCGUACCUCUUCGUCUCCUAAACACUCCGAACACCGCCUCUGUAACUUCAUCUGUUUCCGUAUUACAUCUCCUUAAAUCUCACCAUUUAUUUGAACCCACUACUCAUCCCACUCUUUCUCAAUUAAACAUUGUCAUUAUCAUCAAAGGUAACCGCUCGAAGCUUUUUAGUAUAAAUGUGUUUCUUCUCUACGAUGAGAAGCCACACUGCUACAUAAUCUCAAAUUCCAGACGUUGUCAAGCUUUGAAUCCAACAAUGGAUAAUUCCUACACGUUUCUUUCCAACACGCAGAGGUCCGCCUUCUCAGGUUUUGAAUGUCAAGAAAGUGGGCCAACUGAUGAGUGUCAACAUGCUCUUCCUGAAUGAGAAGGUAACUCCGACGAACUCAGUCUAAGUCGAUGAUGAUUCAAGGUUCUGUUAACGCACUCCGGCUCAAUGAUCAAACUCGAGUUUUAGUAGCAGUGUAGCGAAUAAAGAUGAUUAUCAAACCAUCACAUGUAUAUUAGCUGAAGAUGAGAGCUUAAGAAGAGGCAUCUUGCUCGGGACGAGAUUGUCUCAUUUAGAUUGAUUCAUGUUGGCCACAUAUGGGUUAGCUGAAGGAACAUUCAAUAGACUUUUUAUCUACGUUGCAUGGAAGCGUGUCUCGCGUACUGGUUCCUGGUUCCGAAGCGGAAACGGAGUCGGAAGCGUGCCGGAAUCGCUCGGAAGCGUGCCGGAAUCGCGGUUCCAAAAAAAAACAGAUAUGGAAGCGUGAUGGAAACGAUGAAUCCUAUUUGGAAGCGUUUAAGUUUGAUAUUGGAAUCGUAAAUAAAAAUAAAAAAAGGAAAAAUUAAAUGUUAUGUUUUGUUUCUUUAACUGAAAACCCUAGUAAAAAAAAGGAAACUGAAAAGACUACGACAAAGUCAUUGUUCUCAUUUCUUUUA